CUUAUUUUUUAUCUAAUAUAAUUUCUGCUCAAUGAAGAAAUUUUAAUAGCCACUAUAGUGCUAAGGUAGCAUAAUAAUUUGUUUUUUAAUUGAAAAAUUGAAUGAAUGAAUACACUAGAAAUUAAUUGUUUAAUUUUAUUAAAUGUAAUUUUAAUUUGAAUGAAAAAUUUCAAAUUUUUCUUUAAGGCGAUAAGACCCUAUGAACCUUUAUUUUAAAAAAAAAAUAAAAAAUUUAUUUGGGGAAAAUUAAAAUAAAAUUAUUUUAAUAAAAAUUGAUCUUUACAAAACUAAAUGAAAAAGGUACUCUAGGGAUAACAGCGUUAUAGUUAUUAAAGCCCAUAUUUAAGUAACUGU
rnacentral:rRNA from 1 species